CCUACGGGGGGCAGCAGUAGGGAAUAUUGCUCAAUGGGGGAAACCCUGAAGCAGCAACGCCGCGUGGAGGAUGAAGGUUUUAGGAUUGUAAACUCCUUUUGUUAGAGAAGAUUAUGACGGUAUCUAACGAAUAAGCACCGGCUAACUCCGUGCCAGCAGCCGCGGUAAUACGGAGGGUGCAAGCGUUACUCGGAAUCACUGGGCGUAAAGAGUGCGUAGGCGGGGGAAUAAGUCAGAUGUGAAAUCAUGUAGCUUAACUACAGAACUGCAUUUGAAACUGUUACCUUGGAGGGUUGGAGAGGUAAGUUGAAGUUCUUGGUUAAGGGUUAAAGCCCGUGAGAUCCAGAGGGA
rnacentral:rRNA from 1 species